GAUGAACGCUGGCGGCGUGCCUAAUACAUGCAAGUCGAGCGAACGGACGAGAAGCUUGCUUCUCUGAUGUUAGCGGCGGACGGGUGAGUAACACGUGGAUAACCUACCUAUAAGACUGGGAUAACUUCGGGAAACCGUAGCUAAGACCGGAUAAUAUUUUGAACCGCAUGGUUCAAAAGUGAAAGACGGUCUUGCUGUCACUUAUAGAUGGAUCCGCGCUGCAUUAGCUAGUUGGUAAGGUAACGGCUUACCAAGGAAACGAUGCAUAGCCGACCUGAGAGGGUGAUCGGCCACACUGGAACUGAGACACGGUCCAGACUCCUACGGGAGGCAGCAGUAGGGAAUCUUCCGCAAUGGGCGAAAGCCUGACGGAGCAACGCCGCGUGAGUGAUGAAGGUCUUCGGAUCGUAAAACUCUGUUAUUAGGGAAGAACAUAUGUGUAAGUAACUGUGCACAUCUUGACGGUACCUAAUCAGAAAGCCACGGCUAACUACGUG
rnacentral:rRNA from 1 species